rnacentral:lncRNA from 1 species
AACAUUCGGCCAAGCAAGAAACAAGAGAGAGAGAGGAGAAAAUAAAACCCUAGCCAAGAAAUUUAAAGGGAAAAUAGGUGGAAAUUCAAAAAUCAAGAAAAAAAAGGUAACAUUUCUUAAAUUUGUCUUGUGCUUUACCUUUCCCAUGCAUUUUCCAUCAUUUUUCAUGGUUGAAUCAUGUGAUUUGAGGAUGAUUUGAAUUCUGGUCAUAUGGGUUUAGAGAGAGAAAGUUGUUAGAUAAAUUUGAUUUUGAGCUAUGUUAGUGUUUAGUGUUAGUUUAGCAUGUUUAUGAGUAAAACAACAAGAAAAAUAUUUAUCUUCUCCAUGAAUUUCCCUAGGCCGAAUCUAGCCAAUGGUAUGUGAGGAUGAGGUUGACUUUAUUUUAAGAGAAUUGGGUGGAAAAAUGAUGAAUUAUGAGGUUGGAAAUUAAAUGGGAAUUUUCGGUGCAAUAAAUUGAAAUUUUUACCCACUAGGGGUAAAAGCGUAAUUUAUAGUCCGGACUGAUAAAUUGGACCAAAUUCACAGUCAUUGAGGUAUUGUGGAUAUAAUUGGAUAAUUGAAAUUGAAAUGGAUGGAAUUGGAGUCGAAUUGGGGAUUUUAGGAAUUUACACCGUGUAUAGGCGAGUUAGGUCGGACACCGCAAUUAAGCGAUUGUCUAGACAUUUCAAAUCCUAUCUAGUGCAUACGCAUGGAUAAGAGCCUGAAAUAAUUUAUGAUAAAUUGACACAAUUUAUUGAAUUUUGUGUCAUGGAUUAUGGAUAGGUGGUGAGUCAAUUGUUUCGGGUAAGAGACUGCACCCGAGGGCGGAGGAUAGGAGUAUUUCUACUCCUAAUACUGUGAGUAAACUUAUUAUCAUUUAAUUUAUCUAAGGUAGUUUUUAUGAAAUUUUAUAAAUUUUAUGAAAAAUGGAUUUAAAAAGGAUAAAUUUCGUGUUUUAUAAAUAAAUGUGUUUUUAUAAAAUGGUUUUAUAAAUUGUUUGAAAUUAAUGAUGAAUUUAAUUUUUUUUAAAUAGAGUACAUGGAGACUGUGGUUGUUAAGUAUGAAUUGUAUUUUUAAUUCAAAUGGCUUAUGAUAGUGUGAGCAUGCUUGGCUGGUUUAUUGUAAUGAAAUUAUAUGAAUUGUGGUUUGCCGUGCAAAUUAGUUAUUAUAAAAAAAUUGCCUUGUUAUGCUGUUAAACUAUUUUAUGAUUAUGGUGGAGCUAACCUACAUUGCAGUGGCUGGUUCUGUGGACCAUCCUAUUAGAGGGGCUCGGUAAACCCGACUAAUUUAUUUUACCUCUGUGGGAGAGGCGCAUAGGGUAACUCUUGUGGAGGGGUUUGAGUCCACUUCACGCUUUACCACCACGUGAAAGUGAGGUUCAGCCAAUACCAAGGGACAGCUGUUUUAUAUGAAUAAGUCGUUUUAACAGCCUUGGCGGACUCGAGUGGAUGCUUUGAUGACGAUCAAGUAUCCCCGAGGAUGAGUUUUGGCAUGAGCCAAAUUUUAUGAGAAACAUAAGCCUUGAAAAUCAUUUUAAUUGAAUUAUAAUUGUUUUCAUGGGAUGGAAUAAAUUUCUAAGUUAUGAAAUGCAUAUUGGGAUGGGAUAUUUUAUUGUCUCCAUUUACUCGGCUUUAGAUACUUUAGAUGGUAUCUGUUUAUUCACUGGGAUUAUAAAAUCUCACCCCUUCUUCCUAUAUAUUUUUCAAGCUCAGGACAGUUUGUAAAUAGUCGAGUAGGACGAGAACUAAGCUCGAAACUGCAUUAUAGAAAGUAAGAGUUCACAGUAUUACAUCCUCUUGGUCAAUUGGGGCCCACGUGUCAUUGCAGAUCAAAUCUUAUAUUUUGGUUAUCUGUAUUUCUAUUCAUACAAUUUUUACUUUACUUUCAUGUGCGAAAAAAAAUUAUUUACGAAUAUUUCUAUAAAAAUU